GAAUUUCCCGAUAGGGGAGGCCGGAAGCAGCCUCAGCCGGGCUCGCGGUAGCGAAAGCAAAAUCCCGGGGGAGCAAAAUGGACGAAAGGCGACCCCCAGGCAGGGGCGCUGGGUGCCUUGGGAAUCCGAGGAAUCCCUUCUCUUUGCCAGUCGGAGGGGACUAGAGGGAGCCGAAGGGGCCGGAGAUGGGCCGAGCGCUGCCCCCCGGGGGUCCUCGGCGCCGGGCGCAGCUUACAAGCGCAGCGCAGCGCAGCAGGCUCCAUUCCCGGCCGCCGCCGCUCAGCCCAUUGCGCAAACCAACCCCGCUCUGCCGCCGCUGCUGGAACCCAGGAAGCGUGCUUGGAGGCUUCGGGCACUACGCGGGGCUGGAAAUACCACGCACUGCCCCUUCGCCUAGACCCCCGCUCCGGCCACGCGGGCUCUGCCCUCAAAGCUGGUGGCUGCCUCAGACUUGGCGGUGGGGGAGGGGAAGGGGAGAGGCUGGCGCCCCCUCCCCCUUUUGGCUCCCGCGCUCGUUGCAGCAGCUGUUGCCAAAUGAACCCCAGAAUGGGGACGUGCAACCCUCCACCCCACCCCCAGCCACAGACGUCGCGGUCAGAAAACUGGGAAGGGGGCGCUGGGUCCGAGGUUCUGGAAAAGCAAGAACUCACCUGCAAACAGGCAGUCCUUCUCAGCUCUGGACUUCUGGAUCACGACGUCGAUAUCCUUCUGAAUUCGCUCUUGCCUUGAACACAUCCCCAUUAAAUAAAUCCCUGGAAAAGAAGCA
ensembl:lncRNA novel transcript, antisense to PARP8